CGUAUAGACACGCCACAAAUACAAAGUUUCUCUGGCCACACGAACAAAGUCUCCUUUAUAUUUGCACAGCGUACCAAUAAUAACAUCAGAAUCACAACAACAACUUACAUUCACCAAUCCAUAAACAAUCCAUGCGAUUCAUUUCUAUACAGCUAGCGAUCCUUAGAGAUGAUGCAUGUCUCUAAGCACUCCUUAGGCGCUGGAUGAUGCGAUGUACAGUACAACAAUCAUCCUAUUUAAAAGUACUCCCCACCCAGAAGUUUUAUUUUUUAAACUCUAUAUAAUCCUCCAUAAAAUCAUUCAAAAUCCUUUUUAAAACUGUUUCCCACUCGGAAACUCCAUUUUGAAAACCGACUACCUCGAGGGGUAGAAAACCACAAAUCCAAAAAUCUCCAAUUGCAUACAUAAUAGAAAAUCACCAACACAAACAGUUCAUAAACAUUCAAACAGCAAUAGUGAUCAUCUAACUGAACCAUUUAAUUAUUUAAAUUACUAAAUGCCGAAAUGAA
rnacentral:lncRNA from 1 species